UACAGAGGUCUCGAGCGUUAAUCGGAGUCACUGGGCUUAAAGGGUGCGUAGGCCGGCCUGUAAGUGCUUUGUGAAAUCCCAUGGCUUAACCAUGGAACUGCUUGGCAUACUGCGGGCCUUGAGGUCGGUAGGGGCAGCCGGAACUCUAGGUGGAGCGGUGAAAUGCGUAGAUAUCUAGAGGAACGCCGAAGGUGAAGACAGGCUGCUGGGCCGAUCCUGACGCUGAGGCACGAAAGCGUGGGGAGCAAACGGG
rnacentral:rRNA from 1 species